rnacentral:tRNA from 1 species
CUCCCCGUAGUUUAGUGGAAGAACAAGGCACUCCUAAGGCUUAGACACAAGUUCGAUUCUUGUCGGGGGGACCA